AGCGGGGUAGAGCAGCGGCAGCUCGCAGGGCCCAUAACCCUGAGGUCGGGGGUUCGAAUCCUCCCCCCGCAA
rnacentral:tRNA from 1 species